AUGGCCACCGCCGUCGCCGCCUUCCGCUCUUUCAUUCACCCCACCGCCAUUGCCGCCGCCAUCCCACUCCCUCCUUCUCACUUCAACCUCAACAACUUCCAGCGGCACUGCGUCGGGCUCCGCCUAUUCUCCUCCUCCCACCGUCGCCACCCCAUUCUCCUGCCCGCCUCCACCUCCGCUGCUUCCGGCCAAGAGUUCUCUUCUGACGGAGAAUAUUACUCUGAGGAGGGUCCAGAGGAGUACGUGGAGGAAGAGGGAGAGGAGGCAGAACCCGAGGUCCAGGCAGUUCGCGGUUACUAUCCCCCGAGAAACCGGCCGGCACUUGGACAAGAGCCCGGGCGAAUCUACGUCGGCAACCUGCCCUACACCUUCACCGCCGCUGAGCUCACUGCAGCAUUCUCCGAGCCCGGCAGCGUCGACGAUGUCCAGAUAAUAUAUGACAAAAUCACCGACCGGAGUCGUGGCUUUGCCUUUGUCACCAUGGCCACCGCCGAGGAGGCUGCCAAGGCCGUCCAGAUGUUCAACGGAGCUCUGCUGGGAGGGAGGACAGUCAGGGUGAAUUUCCCGGAAGUGCCGCGAGGAGGAGAGAGGGCAGUGGCAUCGGCAGCGGUUGCAAGGACUAGCUUGCGUGUUGUUGACGAUGGGACAUACAAGGUUUACGCCGGCAACCUGGGGUGGGGUGUGCGGGCUGAUGCACUCAAGACGGCAUUCGAGGGGCAGCCUGGCUUGGUUGGUGCCAGGGUAAUCUUCGAGCGUGACACGGGUCGUUCCAGGGGGUUUGGCUUUAUCUCCUUUCAGACAAUAGAAGAUGCAAAGGCUGCCUUGCAGGCCAUGGACGGAGUGGAACUGGAUGGGAGGCCACUCCGACUUAGUCUGGCGGCACAGAACCCUCCAGCUGGAUCAACUCCUAGCACAGUGCAGUCCCAGCAAGAACAAACUGCCUCAGGUGGUUCUGAGCCAGAGGUCGACAAAAACAGUACUACUUCAGGACAAUUUGAAGGCGAGAUGGAAAAGAGCAACUUACAGACAACUGCCAGCUAUUAG
rnacentral:rRNA from 1 species